UCCUCCACUCACACUCUUUCUCAAAAUAAACCUCUAAAACACAUCACCACAGAAGUUAAGAUUGGACUGAAAUAAGACUAAUCCCUGUGGAACUUGGUGUACCUACAUGCUCAGGAGGGUUUAAACAGAUGUGCGAGAUACAGACAUCCUCUGCUCACUCGUUUCCACCCUUGCCUCUGAGACUUUGUUGAAGAGUUGGAAUCAUCACUAGAGCCAAGAAAUUGGGAGGAGCCCCCAUUUGGAACUUGAGCGCUCUACGAGCUCUCCACCUUGUAGUGAAGUGAAGUUGAAAGAACACAAGACGGGAUCUU